GUCCGCGCUGUAAACGAUGAGUGCUAGACGGUGGAGGUAUUGACCCCUUCGCUGUCGAAGCUAACGCGUUAAGCACUCCGCCUGGGGAGUACGGUCGCAAGACUAAAACUCAAAGGAAUUGACGGGGGCCCGCACAAGCGGUGGAGCAUGUGGUUUAAUUCGACGCAACGCGCAAAACCUUACCUGGGUUAAAUCCGCCGGAAGCUGGCUGAAAGGCUGGUGUGCCCUUCGGGGAAUCGGUGAGAAGGUGCUGCAUGGCUGUCGU
rnacentral:rRNA from 1 species